AAUAUUGCACAAUGGAGGGAACUCUGAUGCAGCGACGCCGCGUGAAGGAAGAAGGUUUUCGGAUCGUAAACUUCUAUCAGCAGGGAAGAAAAUGACGGUACCCAAUGAGGAAGCCCCGGCUAACUACGUGCCAGCAGCCGCGGUAAUACGUAGGGGGCGAGCGUUGUCCGGAAUUACUGGGCGUAAAGGGUACGUAGGCGGCUAUAUAAGUCAGGUGUGAAAUACCAGUGCUUAACACUGGAAUUGCAUUUGAAACUGUGUAGCUUGAGUGCAGGAGAGGAAAGUGGAAUUCCUAGUGUAGCGGUGAAAUGCGUAGAGAUUAGGAGGAACACCAGUGGCGAAGGCGACUUUCUGGACUGUAACUGACGCUGAGGUACGAAAGCGUGGGUAGCGAAC
rnacentral:rRNA from 1 species